rnacentral:rRNA from 1 species
UGCGGUUAUACAAAAAUUAAAUUAAUUUCUUUUAGGAUUUAAUAAAUAAAAAUUUAUUUAAUAAUUUAAAUUUUAAAUUAUCAAGUGAAAUUUUAAUUUAAUUAAAAUUUAUUUAUUUUUAUGACAUUAAUAAAUUUUAUAAAAAACUAGGAUUAGAUACCCUAUUAUAAAAAUUUAAAAUUAAUAAUCUUAAAAUAGUAUAUAAUUUUUUAUAGAAACUUAAAUAAUUUGGCGGUAUUUUAGUUCAUUUAGAGGAAUCUGUCUAAUAAUUGAUAAUCCACGAUUAAAUUUACUUAAUUUUUAAUUUUGUAUAUCGUUGUUAAAAAAAUAUUUUUUAAUAAAAAUAAUAUUUUAAAAUUUAAAUAAAAAAUUAAAUCAGAUCAAGAUGCAGAUUAUAAUUAAGAAUAUGAUGGAUUACAAUAAAUUUUAUUUUAUUUGGAUAUUAAUUUGAAAUAAAUUAAUUGAAAUUGGAUUUAAAUGUAAUUUUAUUAAUUUUGUUAAAAUGAUUUUAAAUUAAAAUAUGUACAUAUUGCCCGUCGCUUUCAUUUAUAAAUUGAAAUAAGUCGUAACAAAGUAGAGGUACUGGAAAGUGUUUCUAGAAAGAU